rnacentral:misc_RNA from 1 species
UCCCCGUUACCGGGGCAGUCUGGCUAGAAAAAUACAACUAACCACAAGGGUUGCGCUCGUUGAUGGACUUAACCAAACAUCUCACGACACGAGCUGACGACGGCCAUGCAACACCUGUCACUGAGUUCCGGCUCAGACUACACAAUCAUCGAUUCUGUAUUCUGAGCCGGCACUCACUGCUUUCGCAGUAAUUCUCAGGAUGUCAAACCCUGGUAAGGUUCUACGCUUAACAUCGUAUUAAACAACACGCUCCACCGCUUGUGCGGGUCCCCGUCAAUUCCUUUGAGUUUUAGUCUUGCGACCGUACUCCCCAGGCGGGAUGCUUAACGCGUUAGCUUCGCUACAUACCGGGUCGAUACGGCAUACAGCUAGCAUCCAUAGUUUACGGCGUGGACUAC